CCCUUAGAUGUUCUGGGCCGCACGCGCGCUACACUGAUGAAUUCAACGAGCUCCUAACCUAGGCCGAAGGGUCCGGGUAAUCUUUGAAAUUUCAUCGUGAUGGGGAUAGAUUAUUGCAAUUAUUAAUCUUCAACGAGGAAUUCCUAGUAAGCGCGAGUCAUCAGCUCGCGUUGAUUACGUCCCUGCCCUUUGUACACACCGCCCGUCGCUCCUACCGAUUGAAUGGUCCGGUGAAAUGUUCGGACCGCGACAAGGCGGACGGUUCGCUGUCAGCCUUGCUGCGGGAAGUUCAUUAAACCUUAUCAUUUAGAGGAAGGAGAAGUCGUAACA
rnacentral:rRNA from 1 species